CGCAGGGAAUUCGAUUUCCUUAGGUGAACCNUGCGGAAGGAUCAUUCGCACAAAUGUUCUUUCACACCCGCCACACAUCAUAUUGAUACCCCCUGUUUUCAAUAAGGACGUCUUGUCCAUCUCGUCGAUGUUGCAACUUCAUUGCAGCGUUUGCGAUGUAAUCUAUCUCUUGCAACGACGAAUGCCUUGGCUCGAGGAUCGUUGAAGGACGCAGCGAACUGUGUUACACAUCUCGAAUUGCAGAUUUCCGAGAAAGAUAAGGAUUCUGAACGCAUUCUGCGAGUUGGGCUUGCCCGACUCACGUGGUUGGCGGUGAUCGCAAUAUACAGUCGUUCAAACUCUGAAGUUUGAAUGGUCAUCUUGUGUUGUCGCUUGUAAAGCGCCGACGCAAUCGAAGUAGAAGCGUGCCUGACAACUUCGAGCACCGAUUGUGACUUUCAGUCCGCGUGUGUUUGAUUUGUUCGGCGAGCAAAAGUUUGAGUAAUCAAAUUUUUUUUUCGCACGCUCACGACCAAUCACGGGAUUACCCGCUGAAUUUAAGCAUAUCAAUA
rnacentral:rRNA from 1 species